rnacentral:rRNA from 1 species
GACGAUCGCUGGCGGCGUGCCUAAUACAUGCAAGUAUGACGCAGUUGCGAACGGGUGAGUAACGCGUAGGUAACUACCUAUUAGAGUGGGAUAACUAUUGGAAACGAUAGCCAAUACCGCAUACUAGUCGAUGCACCUGCGUUGUAUUAGCUAGUAGGUCAGGUAAUGGCAUACCUAGGCAACGAUAAAUAGCCGACAUAAGAGGGUGAUCGACCACACUGGGACUUAGACACGGACCAGACGCCAUAGGGAGGCAGCAGUAGGGAAUCUUCGGCAAUGGGGGAAAACCUGACCGAGCAACGCCGCGUGAGUGAAUAAGGUUUUCGUAUCGGAAAGCUCUGUUGUUAAGGAAGCGGUACUUAACCAGAAAGGGACGGCUAACUACGUGCCAGCAGCCGCGGUAAUUC